GCCCACCAGUAUCACGUUCUAUUCCAUUGUUCAAAUCACAAAACAUCGAGUGGAGAGUUCUCCUUGGAGACCAUAAAGUAAAGAUUCUGCGGUGUGGUGGCCAGUUAGGCCACUGGAAGCUUGGCAAAAUAUUGAAAAUGAGGGAUUAGGUGACAGGGUAGUAACUGCUGAAUACUAAAUACUUGAUUCAGGCCCCAUUCCCUGGAGAUUGACAGGGAGACACAUUGUCCAGGUGGUAAUGGAGAAAUACUUUCUGGGUAUCUGACCAGCCUUUGUGGAAAGAACUGGCACCGUAAUGCAGAUGUAACUGCCUGAUGGGUUCUUCCUGCCCAAUGUACACACAAAAUCAAUUCAAGGAGACCAUGGCGCUGCAGGAAACAGUUUCAUUGACACAGGCCAGCCACGACAUGUGGGAGACAGAGUUACUACUCAAACCAAUCUCACUGAAGGCUUGGAGGGCCCGCCCGGCAGGACCACUGAGCAAGGCCUUGGGAAACCAGAGAGAUUAGAGCGAAUGGGGAAAUGGAGAGAGAACCUGAAAGAGCCCCAAACUCGAGGACCUAUUGCUUCCCAAGAAUAACAUCUUCCAGAAGAACCAGACAGAAAACUAGGCGUCUGGGAACCCUGAAAUCCUUGCAGGAGUAGCAUCAUCAUGACCCUCUGUGUUCCUUUUGGCAAAGGACUUGCCUCCAUUGUUUGUUUGUUCAAUUGUCUUGUCUGUUAAAUAAAUAAAACCCUUUUCAUAUACCUUC